rnacentral:rRNA from 1 species
AUACGGAGGGUGCAAGCGUUGUUCGGAAUCACUGGGCGUAAAGCGCGUGUAGGCGGCUUGGCAAGUCGAAUGUGAAAGCCCGGGGCCCAACCCCGGAAUUGCAUUCGAAACUGCUUGGCUAGAGUCUCGGAGAGGAAGGCAGAAUUCCCGGUGUAGGGGUGAAAUCCGUAGAUAUCGGGAGGAAUACCAGUGGCGAAGGCGGCCUUCUGGACGAUGACUGACGCUGAGACGCGAAAGCGUGGGGAGCAAACAGGAUUAGAUACCCGGGUAGUCC